rnacentral:lncRNA from 1 species
UGGACCACGCCGCUCCAGUCUGCCGGGCAUGUGGGACGAGAUGGUUCCCUCACUGUGCCCUGUCUCGGUGUUAUGUCCCAGAGAGGCCUGACAUGGUGUCCGAGGAGUAAAUACGGCGUCUUUUCUCCCUGUAAAAUUGACUGAGAAGCCACCGCUUAAGAAAGAGCGAAGGUGUUCCAUCGGCCCGAAUUCUUAACGUUCACGCGUGCCUCGGCCUGAAGCUGCUGACCUUGCAUGGCUGUGUGACAUCGAGACGCCCGCAUUCCACGUCAGAGUGCCUGGGUUCGAGUCCCGGUUUGGCUUCCGAUCUCAGCUUCCUGCCAGGUCACCCCCAGGAGCUAGCAAGUGAUGACUCAGGUGAUCCAUCGGGUCCCCACCACCCACGUGAGAGACUUGGGUUGAGUUCCUGGCUCCUGGCUUCCACAUGGUCCAGCCAUGGCCAUUGCAGACAUUUAGGAAGGGAACCAGCAGGUGGAAGUGAACCUGUCUAUUUCUCUACCAGAUAGAUAGAUAGAUAGAUAGAUAAAUAUUUAGAUAGACAGAUAUGCAAGUCAUUAUAUUUCCACGGGACCUUAAGCAUCCAAUUUCACCCUCUGGGCCUCGGGUUCCCACCUACAAAAAGAGGACAA